UUUCCACUGACCAAUUUUGAACUAGUUUUCAACCUUGUAAGGAGGUUUUGUGAACAUCUAAAUCGGACGUACAGAACACGUCAAAAAAGACGUCAUAAAAACUUUCAUUCUGGCUCCUCAGUGGACGUCUUUUCAACUUCUCCAAAGACAUAAAAAGACAUCUACUGGACAUAAUUUUGCCCAGUGGGUGGGAGUGUGGGCUGAAAAUCCCAUUUAAUCCCAUUUAAUUUGUGAUCACAUGGGAAGAAGUUCUCUUAUGCAUAUAGACAAAAAUAAAUUACAAGUAAUUAUCAUGAUUUCAUUCAUUCAUCAAUUGUCAUGAUUUAGACACAAUAUUCUUCCACAAGAAGCAUAAGCGCUAGAGGGCCAAAAGUUACACCGUCACGAUCUGUGCUGGGUGGAACAAGAGAGAAACUUGGAGUACAAAUAAUAGUCUUUAAUCCAGGAAACACAGGGGAUAAUCCACAAUGGAAACAACAGGAACACUAUGAGUAGACCCGACAAACACUAACUGAAUGGACUUGGGCUUUUAAACACACACUCUAAAAAAUAAUUCAAGGGAUCUGUUACCACUACAUAAUUAAUUACAUUGUUGUAAAUUAAAAAUUCUAAAUUGUUAAUUUGAUUAAACCUUUUAAGUUGCCAGCAUUAUUUUAAUGAGUUGUCAUGACAGAAUAAUGUUGAAAAUUACAUCAACUUAAUAAUGUAUGUAAUUUAAACAUAAAUAUAUGUGUUGAGUAGUUUAAACCAAUAUUUAUGUUGUAGCAACCCAAUGCAAUUGGCUUGAUAACUUAAUUUUUCCUCACCAUUUGAGUUCAGAAUUUCAAAGCUCCUCCCCCACUAAACGAGCAAGGAGCAAGUUCAGACAUGUUUUAACCUGACCAGUACGACAUAAAGGACAUUUCAAGAUAAAUGAACAAUUCAAGAGAAUAACCACUGUAAGUCUUGAAGCCACCUUUAUGAAAGAAUCAGAAAGAUCAGGGACAUGCUUCUCAAGCACAAAACAUCUGAAGUACGGAGAGAAGUAGCUAUCCGCUGCCUUGUUGUCUAUCUUGGAGAGAAAGAAGAGGACCUUUUCAAGGAGUUUGCUG